rnacentral:misc_RNA from 1 species
UCCAUGUGCAAGAUGCAUGGUACUUUAAGAGCCCUUCCACAUUCAUCAUCUCUGAAAUUGGCCACUUCACCAGGAUGACAAAUGACUAUCAAACUCCAGUGAAGGCUAUAAUUCACAGGAAUGAAGAUGUAAUCCUUCUCAAAAAGAUUCACCUUCCUUGUCCAUUUACGAACCCGUUGAAAUGCUGCCCUGCCCUCGCAAGCAUUUCUUGGGUCCUUGUCUAGAUCGGCAAGCUU